rnacentral:rRNA from 1 species
ACUCAAAUGAAUUGACGGGGGCCCGCACAAGCAGCGGAGCGUGUGGUUUAAUUCGAGGCUACACGAAGAACCUUACCUGGGGUUGACAUCCGGCUGGUAGGGACGGGAAACCGAACCGACCGCAAGGAGGCCGGACAGGUGCUGCAUGGCUGUCGUCAGCUCGUGCCGUGAGGUGUUAGGUUAAGUCCUGUAACGAGCGCAACCCUCGGAACUAGUUACACGUUGUCUAGUUCGACUGCCCGUGACAAGCGGGAGGAAGGUGGGGAUGACGUCAAGUCAGCAUGGCCUUUAUCUCCAGGGCUACACACACGCUACAAUGGCCGGUACAAUGGGUCGCCAAGCCGCAAGGCGGAGCCAAUCCAUCCAAAGCCGGUCUCAGUUCGGAUUGAGGGCUGCAACCCGCCCUCAUGAAGUCGGAGUUGCUAGUAACCGCCGGUCAGCCAUACGGCGGUGAAUACGUUCCCGGGCCUUGUACACACCGCCCGU